rnacentral:lncRNA from 1 species
AAAACAAUUGUGCUGAUAGUGUCUGAUACACAAGGAACAGAGAACUCAUUGAGUGUACUGCAAAAAGAUGACAAAAUGAUCUGCAGACAGAAGGAAGAAAAGAUGGGAGGGGAAGAGGGGGAAGGUUUAGCAUCAGAAUUAGCAAUUAGCAUCAGAAAGAAGACACAUAUGUAACUGGGACUUCCUUUUGAAGAAAGCGGGCUUCGGAUUCCCAACAACAGCAAGAAGAAAAUUACUUAAGAAAAAGCAACUUGCAAAUCCCAGACUGGGCGUCUGUUUGUGCGCGGUUCUAAACGAAGCUUUACCAUUUCUUAACUAAUGAGGAUCUUUUCCACGUGGGAUAAAUUCUUAGCACUUAGCAGCAUUAGUAAUGCUUCAAGGAAAAAAAAAAAAAGUAUUUCGGAUGGCUCGGUUGCCAACUGCCUACGACUGUCUCGGUGAGAUGCUGAAACGGACCUUCUGCUCUAAAUUAAUAAGGCCAAUCUCCAACCAACACACAAAGCCCGGAAUGACCGCUUAUUCUUCUGGUCUCCUCGCUAUCUUUACUGAGGUCAGAUAAAUCACUUUCAAGCUGUUAAAUCAAUGAUCAUAAAUUAGGGCUCUGUUUUUACAGCGCCUUGUGGGAAAUUCUCAUGGUUAAAUUAAUCUAACAGCUGCAGUGAAGAGCACCUCCCACCAGAUCAUGUCAAAAGUUCUCCCCUCACCCCACUUUCUUCUUUUUUUUUUGCUUCCAAAGGGGAAAAACGACUGAAUUAUUUGUCUUUACCUAGCGCACAAAAUGGAAUCCCUCAGUCUGUCCCUGCUAAUUCGUGUUUCAAUUGUACCCAGCUGUUUAAAUUGCGCUGCGCAGAGAUUGCCUUGAUCCCCAGGUGCUGGUACUCCAUCUGUGCUGCUCCGAGAGACUAUUUACAGCAGAGGUUAGGCCAGCGAUUGCUGGGAUGGAAAACUCAUUUCUCAGCCUGGCUUUUAUUUACACUCUUAUUAAAGAUCCUUUCACUCACGUUGGAAUGGCAGCUCGUGGCUGCACUGAGCACUUGGCGUGGAGCCAAGCAGCAGAAAUUACCAUGUCGAUGAAAGAUAGCCUGCUUCCAUUUUAACCUUUCCC